AGACCACGGGUUAGUUUUGGGCCUCAAGGCCCAAUGGACUUCGAACGUCAAGCCCAUUAACUUAAGUUGUAUGACAACUUAAUGACAAAUAAUUCACAAAGGCCUUAAAAGCCCAAUGAAACCCUAUGGCCGGCCAUUUAGUUAAAGGACUGGGUUUUGGACUUAAUUACAAGUUUGCCACUCAAAUGAAUGUAGGUAUAAAUAUGACUUUAUAGCCAAAAUUCAUUUAGGGUUUCUUUUGAGAAAAUUGGAGAGAACACAAAGCUCUCCUUUCUCUCUAAAGAGGCCGGCCUCCUUGGAAGGUUUAGCUAGCAAUCCUACUACUCCAAGGUCACUUAUUUCUUCUCCAAUCUAACCUUGGUGAAGAGACUUAGAGGUUCUCAAUUUUGGGAACUUGGAGAACCAU
rnacentral:lncRNA from 1 species